CAAGAUAUCAAACAAAAGUUAUGUUUAUUUCAAUCACAAGGAUAAUACCAUUUGUUGGUGUAUAUUAUCCGAUCUCAUCAUCAACCGAACACGUGGUAGUAAAUUGUUAUCUGAGAUAAAUAUUCUAUCAUGUUACAUCGGUCCAUGACUAACCUAUCUCUCCAGUGUUAUUUGCUAAUCGACUUAAUCCAGAACUACUAGUAAGCGGA
rnacentral:lncRNA from 1 species